rnacentral:rRNA from 1 species
UUUCGCAAUGCCCGAAAGGGUGACGAAGCGACGCCGCGUGGGUGAGGAAGGCCUUCGGGUUGUAAAGCCCUGUCAGGAGUUAAGAAAUGUAAGUGCGCUAAUAUCGCAUUUAUUUGACAAAGGCUCCAAAGGAAGCCACGGCUAACUCUGUGCCAGCAGCCGCGGUAAUACAGAGGUGGCAAGCGUUGUUCGGAAUUAUUGGGCGUAAAGAGCACGUAGGUGGGCUUGUAAGUCAGAUGUGAAAGCCUUCUGUUCAACGGAAGAAUUGCAUCUGAAACUGCGAGUCUUGAGUGUAGGAGGGGAGAAUGGAACUUCUGGUGGAGCGGUGAAAUGCGUAGAUAUCAGAAGGAACGCCGGCGGCGAAAGCGAUUCUCUGGCCUAUUACUGACACUCAGUGUGCGAAAGCUAGGGGAGCAAACGGGAUUAGAUACCCCGGUAGUCCUAGCCGUAAACGAUGGGCACUAAGUAGAGGGGUUUUA